rnacentral:lncRNA from 1 species
GGGAACAACAGGUCGGAGCGUAACAGCGUUUUCUGUAGAAUGUAAGCCAUUUUUUUUUGUUUUUUUUGUUUUAUGCCACUGCAUCCAUGAUUUAUCAUCUAUGUUAUAUGAUUUGUGAAUGUUGAAAAUUUUGAAUGUUGAGUUUGAGUUGAGUGUUGACUUGGACUGUUCACUAUAGCGGUGUUGUCUGUUACCUGUUGGAACUUGGAAGAAGAAGUUGAAAGUUAGAAGUACUUGGAACUUGGGUUGGCCGUUUGGGUCACUUUGAAAAAAUAUUUGAUUUUUGGGUGUUCUUCUAAGUCAAGAUCUGCUGUUAUUGGGUUUAUUUGUAUUCCAAGAAAAUCACAUGGUGAUGAGGUUACAAUAAUGAAUAAUCCCAAUAACUUCCCAAACCAUGAGACCAAAAAUGACAGUAUUCUUAGAGAGUUCCGCAUUCAGAUCAGAAGCCAUAUUUAGGAUGUCAAACAACCUGCAAGAAUUUGUAAAAACCCUAUUUUAUCUUAUUUCAUUUCAAACUCUUAAAUGAUUCAGCAUCAAGAUAUGUAUAAGAUCUAUUUUUAAAGAUCAUAUUUCAUCUUAUUUCAUUUCAAACUCCUAAAUGAAUCAGUAUCAAGAUAUGUAUAAGAUCCAUUUGUAAAAACUCUAUUUCAUAUCUCAUAUCAUUAAGUCACAGGAAAAAGACCUAUAAUUAAUUGCACUCUGUAAACAAAUUCAAUAAAAUAAAGAAAUCUCAUUUACAUAUAUAUUGAAUAAUUUUUAAUAUUAUUUAAUCAAAUUUUAAUAAACGGCCGAGCUAUUAUGGUUGUUGAUUGUCGACGGUCAAUGGAUAAUGGUCAACCUCCACCCUAGCUGAACUUUGGUGCUAGAUUCGCCACUGAGUAGGGUAUAAGGUUUUAGAACUACCCAUUAUCUAAUUCUGCUUCAAACAUGAACUAUUUUAAAAAUAUUUUGGUAAUAACCGAGGUUUAUUAUAAUUUCAACAAUUAAACAGCUUAGUUUAGAUAUGGUAUUUUAUCAAACCAUUGUAUUGCAAAAAUCAUUUUUUCUUUUACUGCAUUAUAAACAAGAAUGCUAUAUUUGAUUUUGUUUGUACGUUCUCAUACUAUUUGUUAAAGUGUUAUUUUCAUUUGUUUUGAUUUGUAGAUGAGUAUGACACACCAUUCGGAGGAAGAACUGUUUCGGCCCACAUGUUGCAGGUGAGCAACACAAAAUAUAUAUCAGUUGUCCUCAACAAAUUGGAUCCACAACAAAAGCAUCAGUUGGAGGAGAGUUGUAUAGGACGUGUUGCAAGGUUAUCGGAGCUAAAACUAUCCGCUCAAUUAAUUCAUGAAAUAGUAAACAGAUCGGUGGUCUGUUGAAAGCGGUUUGAGACUUGGUUCAAGGUGAACUUGCACGAUUUGGACUGUCGGAGUUCACACUAAUUACCGGCUUGAAGUGUAGUCCAAUGCUUAAAGGUACUGAAGUUGACAAAAUCCUGGAGAAAAUCCAUCUACAUAAUAGAAUGUUUUCUAAUAUGAACCGGAUAACUUGUAGCGACCUCGAGAAAGUUUUUUUGAAACGUGCCAACCAUAACGAUCGUUACAAGAUUGGGUUGACACUAAUUAUUAAAGGGGUAUUUAAUUCAAGAGAUCGAAAUGUAGGAAUACAUCCGACAACUCUCUCCAUCGUUGACAACUUGGAUUUUUUCAAUGCCUACCCAUGGGAGACGGUCUGUCCAUCAAUCUUCGAACAUUAAGAAUCAAGUUAAAAUGGGGAUCUUGAGUCGUGGGGUGUGUUUUCAACUUCUCAUUAAAUCACUACUACGUGGAUUGGGAAAAAAUGCGGGCAUGGUAAAAGUGAAAGAUUGUGAUAGGAUAACUGACACGUUGUACGGAUUCCCUUUUGCUGUCCAGGUAUACAUCUAUUUUAGUUCAUUUCAAUUCUUUUCAUCGUACAUUGUUAUUUAUCUCCAAAUAUAGUUAUUACUGUUAUAAAUGUCAUGUAGAUUUGGGUGUACGAGGCAAUCUCGGAGUUGAGAGCUCGAUUCUCGAGUAAGACUUGUGACGAUGUCCCGAGAAUGUUGCGGUGGUCUGGCACGAAACAACCUCAUUCCCGAACAUAUUCAGAUGUUUUGAGAAGACAGAUGUAAGUGAAUUACAUACAUAAUUACCUUACACUUUCGCAAUAUAUAAUAUUUCAUUUCGCCUAUUUUUCCUUCCCCUAUAGGUGCACAUGUGGGUAACGUUGCGCGCAACUGCUGCAGAAGAAUUGCAGCCGUACUUUGCCGAUCUAAUUCCAUUGGAAAACGUAGCUGACCCUGUUCUAGAUGGUCUUGUUGCUCAAUCAGUAGAAAUACAAGCUUGUUCAACUGAAGAUGAUGUCAUACGGAACGAUGACAACAACCAUCGACCAAAUAAUUCCCAGAGAGGCAACGAAGGUGGAUCUCGUCAUCGAGGUUUGCAUCACGUUGAAGGCAGAGAAAAAGAGCAUGGGGGUGCGAUCAUCGAAAGGACUAUGUGUUUAGAUGAGAUAAGAGCUAUUUGAACGAACAACGAGAGGUAUUUGAGAGCAAAAUGGGCAAUUUGAGGGAAGAGAUGAACACAAGAUUCACUAGUCUCCAAAAUGAUCUGGAAGGUCAUGUGUGUGGUUUGAGAAAUCAUGUCACUGAUGAGAUCAAUGUGCUUCGAAUAAGGUUUGAUGAAGUUGCUACAGAAAUUGGGCAACACAAUGUUGCUGCUGAGUAUGGUGGAUGUGGUCUGACGAUCACGGUGGAGACGAGCCCCGACGUGAUGUUUUAACUCUCAAUAUUUCUGCGGACAGACAGGAUGUCAGAGAGGCAACCAAACCAGUUGUUUGCAAUAUCCCUGAUGUGUCCAUAACGUCAGGAGGUGAGUUUGGAGUGCUCGGGUCAGUAUACGUUGCUUGUGAUAUUGUGAAAGAGGCACCAGCCAUUGUACUUACAAUUGGUGUAACCAUUGAUAAUCAGCUAGUUCAUGAUAGCGUUGUUUUUGGACCUUCGAUGGCAGAUGAUCUACCUAUAUGUAGACCUCGAUCGUUGAGGCUGAAGGAGGCUUUGCGAACACAAAAACGUCAUACACCCGACCUGGUCGCAAGAGGGGUAAGAGAUAUGCGUAGUCUGUGUAUUUUGGUUGACGGCACAUAAUGGUGAUUGGAUAUGAACUUCAGGUUGAUUCGAAUUAAGAGGUUCGCAUAUUUUGGUUUAUAUGGUGGUUUUUCAAUGUGUAUUUUGGUUUAUGUCAUGGUACGUAAUAUGUAUUUUGGUUUACACAGUGGUUUACAUAUUUUUGUUUAUAUGGUGGUAUGUAAUAUUUUGUGGAUGCAAACUUGUGGUUUAUUUGUUAGUG